AAGAGAGCAAGACAUUCAAGAAAUUCAGCAGCAAAUUGGUGAAGUAAAUGAAAUUUUUAAAGAUCUUGCUGUACUUGUGCAUGAACAGGGAGCUAUGAUUGAUGAUAUUGGGUCCAACAUUGAGUAGUCUCAUGCAGCAACUGCACAAGCAAGAUCGCAACUUGCUAAAGCUUCAAAGACUCAAAGAUCAAAUUCUUCUUUGGUAAUAUACAUUGUGUAAUAUUUGCUUUAAGAUUUCACCUCUCACGUGUUGUUUUAGAUGUUGGGUGUGGGAGCCGUGCUUCCUUGUUCUUCUUCUUCUUCUUCUGAGCUCAACCCUGCAAUUCGGUCAGAGGUUUCAUUUUCUGUUGGGUCUUGCCUCCUUCCUCAUCCAGACAAGGUACUAAGAGUGCUAAAUUCUGAUUAUUUAGCAUAUAGCUCG